UGUUUGAGUGCUCCCCUGGUGCUUAAAAUAUUGCAGACACUUCUUAUUUUGUCCCUGUGUGUCCACCGUAGUUCGUCAGAAAACAAGCGAAGCUACAAUGGAUCUAAUGGAGGAGAAAAAACAUGUCAAACCUGGAGAAAAAACUCUCUCACAGACUGAAAGUAUUUCUUUACUGAAAAGAUGAGUCAAGAAAAGUUUCACCUGCACUCAGUGCGGGAAGAGUUUCACACAAUCAUCAAACCUUAAGAACCACAUGAUCAUCCACACUGAAGAGAAACUGCAUGAAUGUGAUCAGUGCGGAAAAACAUUUGCAUGGGCUUCAAGCUGGAUUAACCACCUUAAAGUUCAUUCAAAUGAGAAACCACAUUCAUGUUCUUUCUGUGGAAAGAGUUUUUCACAACUGCAGAGUUUAAAACUACAUCAGAAGAUACACUCUGGUGUAAAAGAUUAUAUGUGUUUUGAGUGUGAGAAGACUUUUAUUACAGAUAAAGAUUUGAAACGGCACGAGAGGAUCCACACUGGAGAGAAACCUUACGAGUGUUCACACUGCGAAAAGAGAUUCAGUCAGACAGCACAUCUGAAAUCACACGAGAGGAUUCACACUGGAAGGAAACUGUAUCACUGCACUACAUGUGGGAAGAGUUUCAGUCAUACGUCUUCUCUACAGAGACAUACAAUAAAGAAUCACAUUAAGUAGUUUAUCUCCAGGUCCAGCGUUUUCAAGUACUACACCGCAUUUCUUCAGUAUUAAUCUGUUAUAAGAAACAUAAUCUAAUAAAGAUCAUCUUCAAGACCAGCAGUUUCUGUGAGAUUCAGAUCAACUCAAAGUUCCUCCCCUAAGGACAAUAUCUAAAGUUGUAUUCUUGUAUAAAACUGUUACAUUAUGUAAAUUAUAUUAUUAUCAUUAUUAUUAUAUUAUUAUGCUUUAUUUUUUAGGGUGUGUUUUACAAAAUAUAAGUGUAAGAAAUUUUGUCAUGUAGGUUUUACAUCUGAUCCAUCUUCACUUUUGUUCACAUGAGAUGCUUUGCAAUCUUGUUAGUCAAUGAAUAGAGAGAUCUGUCUUUUACUUUGUUUGCAUCAAAUAUCAAACUUUUAUUGGCCACUUUUGUUGUCUGCUGAUUUUUCUUGCAUCAAGAAUGAAUAAUUUGAUAAUUCUAGUUACAUCUAAAAGCCAUUAAAUAUUGCUUUGGGGCUUAAUUACAUUUCUCGAUAAAGCUGUUUAAACUACCUAAUAAACUAUAUUUCAGCUCA